rnacentral:lncRNA from 1 species
UGAAAAUGUAUUGCCUUUGUUUUAAAAUAAUUUGUUUUAUUUUAAUCUAAUAGAAUUUAAUUUUUAAUAAUGGCUGUGUUUAACAACCAGCUGGCACAAAUCCUGAAAAUUAGCGAUUGGCUCUCCUGACCCUGAAGGACCUGGCUCUGGUGUUCUGCUGGGUAAAUUGUGGGACGCUGGCAGGUAAAUACUGUUUCCAAAACCAGCCAAGGAUGAAUCAGAAAUGACUGAGAAUUGAGUGAAAAGAACAAAAUGAAAAACAUACAAUACUAAAAACAGAAAAAAGUAGGAAAAUAAAAUAGUGAAUGACUA